rnacentral:rRNA from 1 species
GUCGAGAAUAAUUCACAAUGGACGAAAGUCUGAUGGUGCAACGCCGCGUGGAGGAUGAAGGUCUUCGGAUUGUAAACUCCUGUCAUCGGGGAGUAAGACCUGGCGGUAAAUAGCCGACAGGGUUGAUAGUACCCGAAGAGGAAGGGACGGCUAACUUCGUGCCAGCAGCCGCGGUAAUACGAAGGUCCCAAGCGUCGUUCGGAAUCACUGGGCGUAAAGGGUGCGUAGGCGGCGUGGUAAGUCAGAUGUGCAAUCCCGGGGCUCAACCUCGGAACUGCAUCCGAUACUGCCAUGCUUGAGGGCUGGAGAGGUAACUGGAAUUCUCGGUGUAGCAGUGAAAUGCGUGGAUAUCGAGAGGAACACUCGUGGCGAAGGCGAGUUACUGGACAGCAUCUGACGCUGAGGCACGAAGGCCAGGGGAGCGAAAGGGAUUAGAAACCCGUGUAGUCC